rnacentral:lncRNA from 1 species
CGGUGCCCCCACCCCUGGCACCGCGCUCCGCUCUCGCCCUGUCGCCGCCGCCGGGUCUCUCCCACCCCCACCCCUCCCCAGCCCCUCCCUCGCUCCCGCCCUGCUCCUCCUCCGCCGCCGCCGCCGCCGCCGCCGCCGCCGCCGCCGCCGCCGCCGCCUCCUCCUCCUCCUCCCCGGCUGCCCGGGUUUCUCUGGCUGAAGGCGCCACGGACCCCGCCGCGGCCACCACCACGUGGCGAGGGGCGGCCGGCCCCCGCCGUGCGGCCCAGCCUGGCUGCGCGCCCGGCGCCCACCGGCUCCCUGCCGCGCGGCCCGCGCUCCGCGCCCCCUCCCCGACGCCUCCCCACGCAGUGUGGCGUGGCGGGUGUGUGGGGGCGUCUGCGGACAGCGUAGGGACUCGGGUGGUGCGUUGGGAUUUGCUUUGAGGAUGUAUAUUUUAUGGGAAAAGGCAUGAUCAGCCUGGCUGCAGUACGGAAUGAUCUGGGAAAUUCUGGAGGACUCUGGCUAACUCCUGACAAGCCAACCCUGGAAGCAGGGUAUAGGGUAAGUCAGGGGCUUUGGAUGGGUUCAGUAUUUAGCUUGAAGCCUCACAUCUGGAGAGAAGGUUCAGGCUGCUGGGAACCUGAGCCUACGUUUUUGGCUACUGGAGGAAGAGGUGGUGAAUGUGGAAAGGACAGGAAAAAAGGUUUCUUGCUUGCUGUGAGCUUUGAGAAGCAGCAGCAGCAGCUCCCAUUUUGCCCCACUGUAGGGAGAAGAGGACUGAAGGGUGAACUCCUCCCAGAAGAGCCAGCAGAGGCUCUGUACUCCUUCCUUUCAAAGAAAGGGAUUCUGACUGGCUUUCUACCUCCUUUUGCUGCUGUUUUCCCUUCCAGUCUCUCCUGCUAG